rnacentral:rRNA from 1 species
UUAUAUUCUGUAGCAAGGUUAACCGUAUAGGGGAGCCGGAGGGAAACCGAGUCUUAAUUGGGCGUUAAGUUGCAGGGUAUAGACCCGAAACCCGGUGAUCUAGCCAUGGGCAGGUUGAAGGUUGGGUAACACUAACUGGAGGACCGAACCGACUAAUGUUGAAAAAUUAGCGGAUGACCUGUGGCUGGGGGUGAAAGGCCAAUCAAACCGGGAGAUAGCUGGUUCUCCCCGAAAGCUAUUUAGGUAGCGCCUCGUGAAUUCAUCUCCGGGGGUAGAGCACUGUUUCGGCUAGGGGGCCAUCCCGGCUUACCAACCCGAUGCAAACUGCGAAUACCGGAGAAUGUUAUCACGGGAGACACACGGCGGGUGCUAACGUCCGUCGUGAAGAGGGAAACAACCCAGACCGCCAGCUAAGGUCCCAAAGUCAUGGUUAAGUGGGAAACGAUGUGGGAAGGCCCAGACAGCCAGGAUGUUGGCUUAGAAGCAGCCAUCAUUUAAAGAAAGCGUAAUAGCUCACUGGUCGAGUCGGCCUGCGCGGAAGAUGUAACGGGGCUAAACCAUGCACCGAAGCUGCGGCAGCGAACGUAUCACUUAAAGCGAUUCAGCGGGUUACGAUUGACGGAGCGAAGCGACGUCAAAGCGUAUACAAAGUCGAGUCGGUUUAAGGAUACGUUC